GUUAACGCCAGAAUCUUUCUCCACGUCCCAAUCACGUAAGACGUCUUGAUCCUGCACAGUAAACACAGUCAACACCAAAAGCUUGAUGGCUAGGACUGUCGGGGGAUAGCUCCGGCGUGAGAGUCAGUACAGACGAUCACAAGGUUAACAAUGGAGGAAUAAAUAUCUAGUGACUUGAGAGCAAUAAUUUAUGAGUUACCUUUCACCGUGUGUCAUCCUUGCUUUAUAUCCCCAAAGUCCGGUUUGUCCUGUAUGCAACUGACUUUUCGGGCCCACAACUUUCAGCCGACUAAGCCCUGUCCAAUCCUCAUUAAAUGCAAUGCAGAGAUGACAGUCAAAGUUCUAUCCCCAAUCUACACCGGUCAAAGCCCAAGUGGAACCAUACUCAUCUAGUAAUUCGGCCCACUGCAUCCGGACCAAUAGGGCAAGAAUAAUCAUAACCCCAGGGAGGAGCCCAUUAAGUCUGGCCCAAUAAGGAAAAGGAUCAUGGCCCAACAUUGCCCCCCAGUCUUUUAUUAAACAGGAGGUUUAAUGAAAGAGUAUAAGUGGAAUCGGUCCAGAAUAAAAGGAAUUAUAAUGAGAUCAACAAAGGCCCAAGAUACAACUUACCGAGGCCCAAAAGAGAAGCCCACUCCGGUAAACAAUAAAGACUAAAACCGCACGCUACUUCUUUAACUUCACAAUCACCGUUGGCAUUAAAUGAGCCACCCCUGAACCUUAUGAAAAGUUGAAGAGAACUCUAGUAUAAAAGCUGCUUUCUCCCAAAUCUGACAGUUUUACCAACUCAAUUCGAAAUUCGGAUAUUCCUUACUCCUCUUCUUCUCCAAAUUUCUCUCUGCAAACUUCAGAAGUAUUUCAACGGAACGAGUGAGAGAAAUGGCGAGCCUUCUAGAGAAGAUUCACAUUAAGGAAGGGAGCUUCGAACUUCUGAGUAAACAAAUAUGAUUGUAUAACCAUAACUGUAAGUCUCGAACCCACUCUAUUGUUUAAAUCCCAAUUUCCA
rnacentral:lncRNA from 1 species